GUGAACGCUGGCGGUAGGCCUAACACAUGCAAGUCGAACGGCAGCACAGAGGAGCUUGCCCCUUGGGUGGCGAGUGGCGGACGGGUGAGGAAUACAUCGGAAUCUACUCUGUCGUGGGGGAUAACGUAGGGAAACUUACGCUAAUACCGCAUACGACCUACGGGUGAAAGCAGGGGAUCUUCGGACCUUGCGCGAUUGAAUGAGCCGAUGUCGGAUUAGCUAGUUGGCGGGGUAAAGGCCCACCAAGGCGACGAUCCGUAG
rnacentral:rRNA from 1 species